rnacentral:rRNA from 1 species
UACGUAGGUGGCAAGCGUUGUCCGGAUUUAUUGGGUUUAAAGGGUGCGUAGGCGGCCCCGUAAGUCAGUGCUGAAAUAUCCCGGCUUAACCGGGAGGGUGGCAUUGAUACUGCGAGGCCUGAGUAAAGUUGAGGUAGGCGGAAUUGACGGUGUAGCGGUGAAAUGCUUAGAUAUCGUCAAGAACACCGAUAGUGUAGACAGCUUACUAAGCUUUAACUGACGCUGAGGCACGAAAGUGUGGGGAUCAAACAGG